rnacentral:ncRNA from 1 species
AUUGCAGGGGUGCCACCGGCUGAGACCGCUUCACGCGGAACCCUUACACCUGAUCCGGAUCAUACCGGCGUAGGGAGCG